UACGAAGGGGGCUAGCGUUGUUCGGAUUUACUGGGCGUAAAGCGCACGUAGGCGGACUAUUAAGUCAGGGGUGAAAUCCCGGGGCUCAACCCCGGAACUGCCUUUGAUACUGGUAGUCUUGAGUUCGAGAGAGGUGAGUGGAAUUCCGAGUGUAGAGGUGAAAUUCGUAGAUAUUCGGAAGAACACCAGUGGCGAAGGCGGCUCACUGGACUGGUAUUGACGCUGAGGUGCGAAAGCGUGGGGAGCAAACAGG
rnacentral:rRNA from 1 species